GAGUUUGAUCAUGGCUCAGGACGAACGCUGGCGGCGUGGAUUAGGCAUGCAAGUCGCGCGACGAACCUUCGGGUUACGGAGCGGCGAACGGGUGAGUAACACGUGAACAAACUGUCCCUACAUUCCGGAUAAUUGGCCGAAAGGCCUUGUAAAUACGGGGGAGGAUCCUUGGAAGGCAUCUUUUGAGGAAGGAAGGCGCAAGCCGUGCAGGGAGGUGUUCGCGGCCUAUCAGUUAGUAGGUGGGGUAACGGCCUACCUAGACAACGACGGGUAGCUGGUCUGAGAGGAUGGUCAGCCACAUUGGAACUGAGACACUGUCCAGACUCCUACGGGAGGCUGCAGUCGAGAAUCUUGGGGCAAUGCACGCAAGUGUGACCCAGCGACGCCGCGUGGAGGAAGAAGGCCCUUGGGUUGU
rnacentral:rRNA from 1 species